rnacentral:rRNA from 1 species
CCUACGGGUGGCAGCAGUGAGGAAUAUUGGUCAAUGGACGGAAGUCUGAACCAGCCAUGCCGCGUGCAGGCAGACGGCUCUAUGAGUUGUAAACUGCUUUUGUACAAGGGUAAACCUGAAUUCGUGUAUUCAGCUGCAAGUACUGUACGAAUAAGGAUCGGCUCACUCCGUGCCAGCAGCCGCGGUAAUACGGAGGAUCCAAGCGUUAUCCGGAUUUAUUGGGGUUAAAGGGUUCGUAGGCGGAUUGAUAAGUUAGGGGUGAAAUGUCCGAGAUUAACUCGGGAACUGCAUCUAAAACUGGUGGUCUAGAGAGUAGAUGCGGUAGGCGGAAUUCAUGGUGUAGCGGUGAAAUGCUUAGAGAUCA